UGGAGUUUAUGCUGGCAUCUGGUAGAUGACAAAGCACUUCUAUAGAUUAAAGAGCUAGGUCCUUCAUUUGUAUGUUUGAGGAUGACCAUUUUGGAAUUAAACCCGUUGAACAAUCCUUAAACAGACCAUCCCUGUAUUUUCACUUUAUUUUUAAAUAUUAAAAAUCUUACACUAUUCUAGACUGUGCACGGUCUAUAAUCUACCUGUUUGCUUGCUUUGUCUGUAUUUUCUCAACAGGGAGCAAAUCCAGCAAACCGAAUCCCAAGGGAGGAAAAACAAAUCAUUCAGUCGCUGCCUCUGGUGGAUUAUGAAAACGGCAGUCCUGAAUGUAUCCAGGAGUCUGUCUGGAUGUACCUGUUAUGAUCUGCAUUCAGGGACACAAGUUCACGCAAGCUGGUUCAUGCAUCCACGGAUGAGCAAGCGUAGACAUGUAUGUUUCUGACGGCGCUACCAAUGCGUUUCUAAGCAUGCUGGGCACACAACAGUGAUCAGAUGCAUUCUUAGCCACCAGCCUCAUAGACAGACUUCACGUAGAUCUGCAGGCCAGUUAAUGUGAACAUGCAAAAUGGGAUGUAUGCAAUAUCUCCCCAGCCCCGGACUGACACACCUGGCGCAGGUGAGCGGCCUCCCCACCCCCCACCCCCGGUGUCCCCGGCCCGGGGCGCACUCACCAGAACAGCAGGUUGGCGCAGACAAAGCCCACCAGGCUGUGGAGUGGCCUCCGCCAGCUCAACGCAUCCCCGACGCAGCAGCUCAGCAGCAGCGCCGGCUCCCCCCAGCAGCCAAGUCAUCGCGGCCGCCGCCUGCUCUUCCCACGGCCGCGCGGUCUCCUCCAGGGGCGGGGGGGCCCCGGCCGCAGCUCCCCGCCCAGCGUCCGCCGCCGCCGCCGCCGCCGCGGGCGCAGCCUCCUCCUCUUCCUCCUCGGCAGCCGCAGCAGCAGCAGCCGGUGCAGCCACGGCGGCUGCCCGCGCACAGCAUCCUCCCUCCUGCUCCUCCUCCCGGGGUCCCAGACUCGCCAUCUUCAGGUUCCACUCGUGCUUUCUGGGGCCCGGAGGGAUGGCGGAGCCCUGCGGUCUGUGCGGUGGUUGGGGAUGGUGGUGGUCGUGGGUGUGUUGGUGGUGUUGGUGUUGCCGCUGCCGCUGCUGUUGCUGCUGCCGCUGCUUGCCUCCGCCUCGGCUCCGAGGCUCCCCGGGGGCCGAGAGGGGAGGAGUGUGGGUGGAUGCAGCGCGCAGGGCGGCCGGGGGCCGAGGGGGCGGGCGCGAGACUGGCCCAAGGCUGCCGCGGGGGCUGCAGGCGGCGUCCGCGCACCGGGCUGCUGAUUGGGGUGGGGGGGACUUGUGACGUCACAGAGCCCGGGCUGGCAGCGGGCCGCUCCUGGAGCCGGACCGAGCCGCGCGGGGCUGCAGCCGUCUGCCCCGCACCGAGCCAGCUGAUGGGGAAACAAGGCUGUGAGUGAUAAGACGAGUGGGAGCCAAAUCUAGGACAGAUGGAUGAAGGAGCAGUGGGUGGAAAGAAGCAAGAGACUCAGAAGGGUGCCUGUGAUUCCUGGCCCUUAAAUCAAGGCCUCCAAGGACUUAACCUUUCUGAGCCAUGAUUUUGUUUGUUCCUUUGGCGGGGGCGGUGUAAGAUGGAAUAGUAUCCUAUAUAAAGAUACCAGGAGGUACACUUGCUUUCGGAAAAGGGACCCCACCUGUUAUUUCACUGGUGAAACUUCUUUUACCAGUGAAGGUUGGCACUUCUCAGCAGCUGAUAGUCUUGGAAAAUUACCCUUAUCACUGAGAAGUACAGUGACUUCAGAAGCAGAACUUGCACCCGGGUCUCCCUGGUUCCAUCCACUAGACCUCAAUGCUCUUAUAUAUAUCAAAUUAUGUCAGAGGUUGGAAUAUAUCCUAGGAAUCCUAAUUCCCACCCUUUCCCAAUCGUGGGCCUUGUCUAAUGACUAUGUGACCCAACUUUUCAAUGGCAGUUGAAAGAGAAUGGCAUUCUCACUUAACCAGGUACACCUCUUCUUUUCCCAUGUCACUCCAUUUCCUUCUCAAUUAUUUAUGAGAUCCAGAGAGAGAAACUUCCCCAAACUAGAGAGCAAAUGGAAGCAGUCACUUCAGGUCAUUGGUUUGGUGGAUCUUACGCUAUUGCAAUCAGACCAUUGGGGAAUUCAACAAAUUCUGUUCAAAAAACAUUUAAUAAGCUUUGUAUAUGCUAGACAUUUGGGAUAUAAAGAUGACAACAAACAGCCCCUUUCCUCAAGGUACUCACAUUCUAUUGGGGAAAACAGGACAAGUGACUCGAUUCAAUGGCUGGGGAUAAUAUUUAUUUGGAGGAUUAAUAUGCCUGUUAAAAAGCAAUAGCAUUGCAUUAUAGUCAUACUUCAUCUAUUAACUUAAGAUUUAAUUUUUUUUCUUUUAUUGCUAUUGAUGCCAUUUGUUCAUACAUUCCAUCUAUUUGCAAACAUAUCUCUUCACCUCUCCACUCAGGCAUCCAUUGUAAAAAAAAUCGUAAAAAGGAUUUUGUUUUUAUUCUUUGUUGUAAGUGCUAUAGAUUGCUUUAUAGGAGAGGAAUAUAUUCAGAAAUGAAGGCCAUAUGAAAACAAAACAUCGCAAUAACAUUUAAAAUAAAAAGGAGGAAAGCAAUUCA
ensembl:lncRNA